UACGGAGGGGGCUAGCGUUGUUCGGAAUUACUGGGCGUAAAGCGCACGUAGGCGGCUUUGUAAGUUAGAGGUGAAAGCCCGGAGCUCAACUCCGGAAUUGCCUUUAAGACUGCAUCGCUCGAAUCAUGGAGAGGUGAGUGGAAUUCCGAGUGUAGAGGUGAAAUUCGUAGAUAUUCGGAAAGAACACCAGUGGCGGAAGGCGACUCACUGGACAUGUAUUGACGCUGAGGUGCGAAAAGCGUGGGGAGCAAACAGG
rnacentral:rRNA from 1 species